rnacentral:rRNA from 1 species
AUACGGAGGGUGCAAGCGUUAUUCGGAAUCACUGGGCGUAAAGGACGCGUAGGCGGGUUGGCAAGUCAGAUGUGAAAUCCUACAGCUUAACUGUAGAACUGCAUUUGAAACUGCUAACCUAGAGUAUGGGAGGGGGAGAUGGAAUUAGUGGUGUAGGGGUAAAAUCUGUAGAUAUCACUAGGAAUACCGAAAGCGAAGGCGAUCUCCUGGAACAUAACUGACGCUAAGGCGUGAAAGCGUGGGGAGCAAACAGGAUUAGAAACCCUAGUAGUCC